rnacentral:misc_RNA from 1 species
UACGGGGGGAGCAAGCGUUGUUCGGGUUUACCGGGCGUAAAGGGCGCGUAGGCGGCCAGUGCAAGUCAGUUGUGGAGUCUCCGAGCUUAACUCGGAAAGGUCAACUGAUACUGCUCGGCUAGAGUGCGGAAGGGGCAACUGGAAUUCUUGGUGUAGCGGUGAAAUGCGUAGAUAUCAAGAGGAACACCUGCGGCGAAGGCGGGUUGCUGGGCCGACACUGACGCUGAGGCGCGAAAGCUAGGGGAGCGAAUGGG